AGAGUUUGAUCCUGGCUCAGGAUGAACGCUGGCGGCGUGCCUAAUACAUGCAAGUCGAACGAGGUGCUUUUGUAGCAAUACGAGAGUAUCCUAGUGGCGAACGGGUGAGUAACGCGUUGGUGACCUGCCCCAAAGUGUGGGAUAACAGUCCGAAAGGAUUGCUAAUACCGCAUGUGGUCUCUGGGUUUAGAAACCGGUGACUAAAGCAGUAAUGCGCUUUGGGAGGGACCUGCGUCCCAUCAGCUAGUUGGUGAGGUAACGGCUCACCAAGGCGACGACGGGUAGGGGACCUGAGAGGGUGGCCCCCCACAAUGGAACUGAAACACGGUCCAUACACCUACGGGUGGCAGCAGUAGGGAAUAUUGCUCAAUGGGCGAAAGCCUGAAGCAGCAACGCCGCGUGUGCGAUGAAGGUCUUCGGAUCGUAAAGCACUUUUCUGCGAGAUGAGAAAGGACAGUAUCGUAGGAAUAAGUCUCGGCUAACUACGUGCCAGCAGCCGCGGUA
rnacentral:rRNA from 1 species